CAUAAUACCUACAUAAUGGUCAUCAUUCUAAUGCUCCUUUGCUACCGCAAUGGAGGCAGUCGUUGCAAAAUGUUGUUGCAAAGUUCAAGCCCAAAAAACAAGCUAGUUUUGAGAACCCUUACCUGGUUGGUUGGUAAGAAGGUGUGUCUGUCAGUCUUGAUGAGAGGCGGCGAUCGAUUUCCUCCUCAGUUUUGUCUGAUCACAGAAAACCAAGAGGUAAAAGAGCCACUUUUUUUAGGUUCCUCGGCUGUGAUGCUCUUUCAAUAAUACAUUGUAUAUUGUACAUUGUCUGUACACCACAGCUUUUUUAAUCAGAAAUUGUAACUUACGUGUGACAACCGCUGCACCUUUGUAGUCACAGAACACACCGCUCAGCCAUGCGUCGCGGCUGCACGCGAAUGUCUUUGGCGUUCGUGCGGUCUGUCCGUGUGCCCUCUGUGUGUGUUCCUGACGACUGUAUGCUCAAUGUGUGUCGCUUGCCCUUGCCAGCUCUCUGCGCGUUGGGUGUGUGCGUGUGGUGCUCAGCAGCUGCCUUGGUGCUUUGUGCGGUAGCGGUGAGUGUCUGUGAGUGUCUGUGAGGUGCUCGCGCGUCACCGGCGUGCUGGGUUCUAUCGGAGCGCUGGCACGCACGGCAGCUCUGCGUCUUGCCGCUCUUCGUCUUCCCCUGCCUCCUCAUUCUCCGGCCACACUGUCGACACCCUCCGCUGGCCGGCCUCUCCUCUGCCUUCACCCCCUGUUGGCCAGCUGGCCCUCUGGAGCCCAGCGGGUCCGCGGACGCAGGCGGGGCCACCUUGUCAUCCAGCACAGAAGCGGGCACCUGAGCCGGGGGAGUGGACACGUUGGGGGUCUUGGAGAUCCGGCAGAGCCCCAGGGUCAUGAGGUGGGCGGACUGGGCCAGCUGGUCGUCCAGCUGGUUGGGUGGGCGGACCAGGGGGCAGGAGGCCUUCAGGUGGAAGAUGGUGGGCUCCUCUCCAUCUGCCCCCUCCUCCUCCUCCUCCUCUUCGUCAUCUUCAUCCUCAAACAGAGUGCUGACCUGGAUGAGUGAGGGAUCGAAAAGGUCAGCCUGAUAGGAAGUCUGCUAAACGGCUGACUUGCAAACUAGUUAAGGGACCGACCCGUCUCCUACCUCACAGGUCUCCGCCACUUGAAGACCACCGUCACAGUUCGAACUCAUGCCCAUGUCACAUGAUCGUGGACUCAUGCUGGGCAGAAUGCCGUACAUGGGCAGCAGGAAGGACAUGCGGUCCAGACCCAUGUGAUCCAUGGGGUCAUCGUCACUGUGAUUGGACUCGGACGUGAGCUCGAGUUCCAGGUUAUAGGGAGAGUCGGGGGUGCGGGGGGCUAUAUGCUCCAUCACUACAGCCUCCUCUUCCUCAAAGCCGGAGGAGGCCAUCGCGGGAGGCAGGUCGUCAUGGGAAUUCAGCAAAUGGGUCUUGAUGCUGCUCUUCAGGCUGCUUGUGAACUGACACACCCUGCAGCGAUACAGUUCUACGAGAAAGGCUUCGACUAGAUCAGCACCAGGGGCAUCGAGCCCGUGGACCGCGCCGCAGUACAGACUCGACGUGACGUUCGCUUCUAUAACGUUCACCGUCACGGGGUUUAUGUCCCUGUACUGCUCCUUCACAGAAUGCAUCGUGUCGUGUUUCGAAAGACGAAGAUAUGUGUAGUGGUACAUACAAGACUUAAAGAGUGUAAGGGAAGUUGGAACUGACCCGUGGUUAAACUGGUUUAUUCUGCUUGCUUGGUUCACAAAAACGUAAUCCCGCCUCGGUGUCCCCAAAUAGACUAUACAUAUUCAAGGUCAUGGUGAAUCCAAAUUGUUAAGAAUUGCAUGGGAUACAUGGGAUUUAUACAGUAUAGUCCAAACAACAACACCGAAAGUAAACACAUAAACUCUUCUUCUACAACCUCUAUUCUUUCUUCUUGGUUUUACUCAGUCAGCGAAGCAUAGCAAGAUUUCUGGGCCGUGGCGCCAUCUAGCGUACCAUUGUGCAAUAUCUCAUGGGACAUGUUUUCUUAUAUUUUUAGCUGUUUAUAUUUUGUAACUUUAAUUGAAAGCAGGAUGCACAAUACUAAAUAAUUUAACAUCUUAUUCAAAUUAAGUAUAGCCUUCUUUAGUAAGUCUACUUGACGGUGAGAGGAGAAACCUGUUUCAUACUUUGCAAUGAAGAUAUUCUGGAACUAAACUUCUGGUGCCACCAAAUAGACGAGAUGCUAAGGAAUGCCUAUAUUCCUUUAAAAUCUAGUCUUUUUAAAAAAUGUACUUUAUGUAGAUGACUGACAGUUUCGAUGGCUUUACAUCCUUCCACUACAUCAGCCUUCUAGACCACUAAGAAGCUCUGAGACCAAUCUGUUAAUUAUCCCCAGAGUAAACACAAAACAUGGGAAAGCAGGAUUUGGUUAUUAUGCAACAAAUAACUGGAAUAAACUCCCAGAGGAUUUAAGACUUGCCCCAACUCUGAGCACCUUUAAAACAAGACUGAAGACUUUUAUGUUUGCUAUAGCUUUCUGCUAAAUCUUAAAUACAUUCCACUUUCUAAAAAGCUUUUUUAACUUUGCCUUUAUUUUCUAUUUUAAUAAUAAAAUGCCUUUUUAACUUUCUAUUUUACCCAUUUCUUUGCAUAUGUUUUACUAUUACUUAUCUAUUAUUUAAUUUAAUUGUAUGACAAUGUUUAUAUGUGAAGCACUUUGAGUCUGCCUUGUGUAUGAAAAUUGCUAUAUAAAUAAAGUUGCCUUGCCUUGCCUAAUAGGUCUUUAAUUCUUCAUUCCUUAUUAGGUCCAUGGUAACAUCAGUCUGAAAACAAACGGUCUCUAACAGGUCCGAUGGUCUGUCUUUCCCGCCAAAUCAGCCCGGAACCUGAAGUAGUUCCUUUCCGGUCCCGUCUACAAGACCACGUUUAAAAGACGGCGGCUCCACAACUGUUUGACUACGGAUCAAUACCAGCAUCAGCGUGUUACUUUAGACAUCUGAACCAAAGUUACAAUGGACCCCGUUCAUCUCUCGGAAAAAAACGUUUUCCCUGUAGUACUAUGGCUGCACAGGGCCCAUUGCUGCCAGCAUGACCUCAAUGAUGGUGGAUCUUGGCCUGCGUGCGCCGUUGUAUUUGUGGAGGACCUACUCGGGUAGGACCCACUAAGAGAAGCACCAUGGGUGAUUAUGAAAGGCAGCGGACAGAAUCGCUCUCCCUGUAAGUUAUUAUUCUGUUAUUUGGUAUACAUGCUCUCUACCAUCAAUGUUAAACGGUAACCUAACUUGGAAAAUAAGCGUCUAUAAUUAAGUGGCUUGCUAAAACGAAGCACGUGUGGAAAUGAUGUAACAAAAGGCCGAAUGAAGCCCCCCUACUUCCUGAAUUUUGUCAGGAUCCAUGUAGCAUCAUACUGCUGGGAUAUGAUGUAAACAAAAGGCCGAAUUAUAGCACCUUGUCUGGCUUUAUGUCAGUGCAGGGUUGCAGUGACAAAAAACAGGACCGAAGCGAACACUGAUCCCAGCAGCUUAUAGAAUUGGGUGAUGCUGGGACUGAAGUCGUAAUCCUUCUGAUAGAAGGUGCUGUGACCCCUUGGAUCAGCCCCUCCAUGAUCUGUUACCUAAAUCACCACAACUAGGGGACUUUGACAAGCUCUUGUAGGGAAGUGCAAACUUUACAAACAGACAAACAGAAAAGGCCAACUUUAAGACUGGGGUGAAUCUGGUGGUGCUGCUGGGGCUGAAGGUGCAAUUAUUCCGAAAGGAGUUGCUGUGCCUCCUUGGACCAGCCCUGCUAUGAUCUGUUGCCUAAAUAAUCUGCGGGACUGACAAGCUCUUCUGGGAACCAGCCAAGCUAAAGGCCGGCGUAUGCAACGAGAUGGCUCUGGUGGUGAGUGACGGGAGGCCACCUUGUGAAAGACUAGGACAAGUUACCCCCUGCUCCGCUGCCCCUAUAGGACACUUCUGGCAGUGCAAUGGAGCCCACCCAUUGACCUGCAUGAUCACAUUGCUUGUAUUACUCUACUUCACAUGAAUAUCUUUUGUAAAUCCCGUUCAGCAACUUGGUACAUUUCUGUUUGAGGGAUAAAAAUGGAAACCGUUUCCCAUGCAUUCAGCUGCACAUCAGUUAUUUCAAUGUCCAGUUUUCCGUUUUCUUUCAAAAAUUCUGUUGUCUCCAUAUUCAGUGCUGUGAUGCCAUGGUAUAACUUGCUUAUAAUGCCUUUUGGAACUCCUGAGAUUUAGGCAUUAAUAAAUGUAUAAAUAAU
ensembl:lncRNA